AGAGUUUGAUCAUGGCUCAGGAUGAACGCUGGCGGUCUGCUUAACACAUGCAAGUCGAACGAACUCUUCGGAGUGAGUGGCGGACGGGUGAGUAACGCGUGAGAAUCUACCUGUGGGUCGGGGACAACCACUGGAAACGGUGGCUAAUACCGGAUGAGCCGAAAGGUAAAAGAUUUAUUGCCCACAGAUGAGCUCGCGUCUGAUUAGCUAGUUGGUAAGGUAAAAGCGUACCAAGGCGACGAUCAGUAGCUGGUCUGAGAGGAUGAGCAGCCACACUGGGACUGAGACACGGCCCAGACUCCUACGGGAGGCAGCAGUGGGGAAUUUUCCGCAAUGGGCGAAAGCCUGACGGAGCAAGACCGCGUGGGGGAGGAAGGUUUUUGGAUCGUAAACCCCUUUUGUCAAGGAAGAAGCUCUGACGGUACUUGACGAAUAAGCCUCGGCUAACUCCGUGCCAGCAGCCGCGGUAAUACGGAGGAGGCAAGCGUUAUCCGGAAUGAUUGGGCGUAAAGCGUCUGUAGGUGGCCAGCUAAGUCUGCUGUUAAAGAUCACAGCUCAACUGUGGGAAGGCAGUGGAAACUGGCAAGCUAGAGGUUGGUA
rnacentral:rRNA from 1 species